UACGUAGGGGGCAAGCGUUGUCCGGAAUUACUGGGCGUAAAGGGCCCGUAGGCGGCCAACUAAGUCGGAUGUGAAAUCCCCAGGCUCAACUUGGGAACUGCAUCCGAUACUGGAUGGCUUGAAUUCGGGAGAGGGAUGCAGAAUUCCAGGUGUAGCGGUGAAAUGCGUAGAUAUCUGGAGGAAUACCGGUGGCGAAGGCGGCAUCCUGGACCGACAUUGACGCUGAACGGCGAAAGCUAGGGGAGCAAACGGG
rnacentral:rRNA from 1 species